rnacentral:rRNA from 1 species
UACGGGGGGGGCAAGCGUUGUUCGGAAUUACUGGGCGGAAAGGGCUCGUAGGCGGCCAACUAAGUCGGAUGUGAAAUCCCCAGGCUUAACCUGGGAACUGCAUCCGAUACUGGAUGGCUUGAAUCCGGGAGAGGGAUGCGGAAUUCCAGGUGUAGCGGUGAAAUGCGUAGAUAUCGGGAGGAACACCAGUGGCGAAGGCGGCGACCUGGACGGACAUUGACGCUGAGGCGCGAAAGCUAGGGGAGCAAACAGG